UUGUUUUUGGUUUUUAAUUUCUUCUGGAAAUUCUUUUAUUUUUACUAUAAUAUGAUCUUGUAGUUUAAGACCAUCAGCCGAUAAAUUUAAACCUAAAAAUUCUAUUUCUGUUUUUUCUAAUUCUAUUUUCUUAGGGCUCAAAAUAAUUCCAUGUUUUAUGAAUUCUUGGGAGAUGAUAUUUAAAUGUUUUCUAUGUUUUUCCAGUGUUUCUGAAAAUAUUAAUAUAUCGUCUAUAUAAACUAUACAAAAUUUUUUAUAUUUAUUAAAUAUAGAAUCCAUCCAUCUUUGGAAGAUUUGAGGUGCAUUACAUAAUCCAAAUGGCAUUACUCUCCAUUGAUAAUGACCAUUAGGUGCACUAAAGGCUGUUAAUGGUUUAGAUUCAUCAGUUAGCAUUAUUUGCCAAAAUCCUGAUUUACAAUCAAAUUUACUGAAAUAUUUUGCUUGUUUAGCUUGAUUUAUUAAAACAUCUUUCCGUGGAAUAAAGUAUCCAUCAAAAAUAGUAUUUUGGUUUAGUCUUUUAUAAUUAAUUACCAUUCUAGCUUUUCCUCUUUUUAUUUCAGCAUGGUUUCUUACCAUAAAAGCUGGACUUGAGUGUGGACUAUUAGUUUUUUCUAUUAAUCCUUUUUCCAAUAAUUCUUUGAUUUGUAUAUCAAAUUCAUCUAUAUCUUGUUUAGUAUAGAUCAUAGGUUUGAUUCUAAUUAUUUUAUUAGGAUUCUUUAAUUUUAUUUCACAAUAUCUUGGACUAUUUUCCCAUAAUUUUAAUGGUUCUUCACUAAAAUUAUUUUCUAGAAUUUUAAACAACCAAUGAUUUGUUUCUAGUUGUUUAAUUUGUUCUUUUCUUAUUGGUCUAAAUCCUUUAUCACAUACAAAUUUAUGGUUUUCUAUUAAAGGUAUUUCUACAGAAGUUUUUUCUGUUGAUAAUAUUACUAAAUUUCUAUCUAUAGAAAACGGUAGAUGAUGAUAUAUAAAAUUAUUUCCUAAUAAUAUGUCUCCAUGCAUUUCAGGAAAACACAAUAUUUUAGGAAUUACAAAUCUUACAUUAUUUAUGUAAAUUGGUAUAUUUCUAGCCUUAAAUUGAAUUAUGGUUUCUUUACCAUCAAUUCCUAUAGCUCUAAUUGGAUUUUUCAUUAAUUCCCAUUUUUCUACAGGAAUGGCAUUUUCUCUACAACUACUUGUGGUAGCUCCAGUAUCUAAUAAAGCAUGCAAAGAAUAUGUUUUAUAGUCUCUAAAUUGAAGUGUAAUUUCUAUAUAUGUAUAAUAUUUCCUAGGUUGGAAAUUUGAAAAUGUAAUAAUAUCAUUUUUUCCUAUUUUCAUUUGUUGAAUAAUAGUAGUAGUUUGUAUUUCUUC
rnacentral:lncRNA from 1 species